UAGUAUGACCCACAUGCCUUUGCAAAGCCAUUCUGUCAGGCCAGGAGGCUGAGGCCCAGGGAGGGCACUUGGGGCCAGAAUCUCUCAGUAGAGGCAACAGAGCCAGGAUUGGCAUUCAUAACCCAGGCCCCUGAAUCAUCCUGCCUUUCUCUUCUGGGAUGUUGACAGAGGCUGGUGUUCAGGCCUGUGCCCCCUGGUGGCACUUACUCCUCAUUUUCCUUUCUCAUUUCUCUCCCCAUCCUUUGCAAACUUAGCUGCUCAUUGUGGGUUCCCUCUCCAAGCUUUAACAUUUAGUCCCUUCCUCCAAUGCCUUCGUUCCUUUGGACCCUUGGCUCUCUAUUCCCUAACCCCUCCUUCCACUAGCCCCUCGUCCCUGCCCCCUCUGGAUUGGAGCAGACAGCUCUCCUACCUUCCAGGCAAGGAUCAAAAGACCCAGCUGAGGGCGAUGGGGCCCAGCCUGAGGAAACACCUGGGGAUGGCGACAAGCCAGAGGAGACUCAGGGGAAGGCAGAGAAAGAUGAGCCAGGAGCCUGGGAGGAGACAUUCAAAACUCACUCUGACAGCAAGCCAUAUGGCCCCAUGUCUGUGGGUUUGGACUUCUCUCUGCCAGGCAUGGAGCAUGUCUAUGGGAUCCCUGAGCAUGCAGACAAUCUGAGGCUGAAGGUCACUGAGGGUGGGGAGCCAUAUCGCCUCUACAAUUUGGAUGUGUUCCAGUAUGAGCUGUACAAUCCCAUGGCCUUGUAUGGGUCUGUGCCUGUGCUCCUGGCACACAACCCUCAUCGCGACUUGGGCAUCUUCUGGCUCAAUGCUGCAGAGACCUGGGU
rnacentral:sRNA from 1 species